GGGCAUAUGGUGUAGGGGUUAUCACGUUCGCUUUGCAUAUGUUUGGAAGUUGUCUGCGAAAGGUCUCCGGUUCAAAUCCGGAUUUGUCCA